GACGAACGCUGGCGGCGUGCUUAACACAUGCAAGUCGAGCGGUAAGGCCCUUUCGGGGGUACACGAGCGGCGAACGGGUGAGUAACACGUGGGUGACCUGCCCUCAGCUCUGGGAUAAGGCCUGGGAAACCGGGUCUAAUACCGGAUAUGACUCCAUGACGCAUGUUGUGGGGUGGAAAGCCUUGUGCGGCUGAGGAUGGGCCCGCGGCCUAUCAGCUUGUUGGUGGGGNGAUGGCCUACCAAGGCGACGACGGGUAGCCGGCCUGAGAGGGCGACCGGCCACACUGGGACUGAGACACGGCCCAGACUCCUACGGGAGGCAGCAGUGGGGAAUCUUGCGCAAUGGGCGAAAGCCUGACGCAGCGACGCCGCCGUGAGGGAUGACGGCCUGGUU
rnacentral:rRNA from 1 species